rnacentral:rRNA from 1 species
GACAGAGGGUGCAAACGUUUGUUCGGAAUUACUGGGCGUAAAGCGCGCGUAGGCGGACCUGCAAGUCGGGGGUGAAAGCCCGAGGCUCAACCUCGGAACUGCCUUCGAUACUGCGGGUCUCGAGUCCGGGAGAGGUGAGUGGAAUUCCUAGUGUAGAGGUGAAAUUCGUAGAUAUUAGGAAGAACACCAGUGGCGAAGGCGGCUCACUGGCCCGGUACUGACGCUGAGGCGCGAAAAGCGUGGGGGAGCAAACAGG